CCUGGCGGCUUUAGCGCGGUGGUCCCACCUGACCCCAUGCCGAACUCAGAAGUGAAACGCCGUAG
rnacentral:rRNA from 2 species